rnacentral:lncRNA from 1 species
GUUGCAUUUGUUACUUAUAGUGCCGGAUGCUGUUUUCAUGUCACAACUUUCCCAAUGUCUCUGCCCUCUUGAUAAUCUGGAUAUUCCUUCUAUGAAUGGGCUCGAUUAGCUGCAAAGACUGUUGGAAUUUAUCAGAUAAAUGUUAAUCUUCUUCGUCAAUUCAGACGGAUAAUCCUAAAUCCUUUUUCUGCUGGGGGAAAAUCCCAGCUUCUGAGGAGGUGGCCAUUGAAAGACGGAAACGAAUGCGAGGAAGGCUUGUUCAUCAGAGAGGAGGUUUUCUUGCUGCCUUUAAUAAUAUUGAAGUCUCAAGUCAUU